UAAACAGUAAGGAUCAAAAUUUAAUUAUAAGUCUGUUUGUUUUAUCUUCUGAAAUAAAUUUAAACAUGAGAAUGAUUUUUAUACGACCGCAAAAAAAUUUUUGUGGUAUAUUGGUAUGACAUUGGCGGCGGCGUCGUCCGAAGACACAUUAGUUUUCGCACUCUAACUUUAGUUUAAGUGAAUGGAUCUCAAUGAAAUUUUACCAUAAGGUUCAAUACCACAAAAGGAAGGUGGGGAUUGAUUUUGGGGGUUAUGGUACUAACAGUUAAGGAAUUAGGGGCCAAAAGGGGCCAAAAAUAAGCAUUUUUGUAACUUCCAGACAUAACUUGUGUGUAAGUGUAUGGAUCUCUCUGACAUUGUACCACAAGGUUCCAUAUCACAAAGGGAAUGCUGGGAUUGAUUUUGGGGGUAAUUGCCUCCAAAUUUUAGGAAUUGGGGGCCAAAAAGGGGCAAAAAACAAGCAUUUUUAUACGACCAUGACAAUAUCUUGUUUGUAAGUGUAUGGAUCUUUAUGAAAUUGUACUACAAGGUUCCAUAUCACAAAAGGAAUACUGGGAUUGAUUUUUGGGGUAAUUUCCUCCAAAUUUUAGGAAUUAGGGGCCAAAAAGGGGCAAAAAACAAGCAUUUUUCUAGUUUCAUGACAAUAACUUGUUUGUAAGUGUAUGGAUCUUUAUGAAAUUGUACUACAAGGUUCCAUAUCACAAAGGGAAGGCUGGGAUUGAUUUUGGGGGUUUUCCCUCAAAAUUUUAGUAAUUAGGGGCCAUAAAAGGGCAAAAAAAACAUGCAUUUUUCUAGUUUCAGGACAAUAACUUGUGUGUAAGUGUAUGGAUCUUUAUGAAAUUGUACUGCAAGGUUCCAUAUCACAAAGGGAAAGCUGGAAUUGAGUUUGGGGGUAAUUGCCCUAAACGUUUAGGAAUUUUGGGCCAAAAAGGGGCCAAAAAACAAGCAUUUUUCUAGUUUCCAGACAAUAACUUGUGUUCAAGUGUAUGAAUCUCUCUGAAAUUGUACUGCAAGGUACCAUACCACAAAGGGAAAGCUGGGAUUGAGUUUGGGGGUGAUGAAUCAUAAGGGGGUUCAAAAAAUUGGGGGGGGAUUUAUUUUUCCUUUUUUUUCUUUAACAUUUUCCAUUUUAAAUUGGUUAUUUCUGAUUUAUAUAUAAAAGCAAAUAAUAAUGAUAUGGUUUGAAUAGGCAUACAUGUGAACCUCCCGACGGGAGUACAAUAAUCCCGUUUUCAGGGGUCUCCUCCCGACCUCCCGUUGAAGAGGAAAAAAUCCCGUGUAUGAAAUUUUUCAUGAAUGAAAAAUUUCUGCCCAACAUAUCAUCUCAGGCAUCUGGUGUAACUGACAUUACCUGAAGUUAUAUUUUACCUGUAAAUCAAUUAACAUGCAUAAUUAUAUGGCUUCACUUGUCAGCUUGGGUGUCAAACAUACAGGUAAUCAACGAUUUUUACCUCAGGCUAACUGCCGUUGUGUAACAAAAACUGUGUAUUUAUUGGGUUACUUCCCUUGAUUUAUCCUGUUUUAAGUUACUUUCCUUUUAAUAAUGAAAAUUUUUAAAAGAAUAUAAAUAAAAUAUAAAUUGAACAAAUAAUCAUAAAAGGAUGGUUAUUAAAUGAUUUUAAAUGUCUUAGGACAAAUAAAAAAAUAAUAAUUUGAAAAUUAUUUGAGGAUUCUAGACUUCCUUUCAAGGCUUAAAUUGAAAUUUAUAUAAUAACUAUGACCCUAAUUUUACAGAUAAAAUGAUUUUCUGAGUUUGCAAAUAAAAACUAU